AAAUUUGGUACAGGACAGCAAACAUGGAUUUCGUAUUAUUUAUAAUUGGUAUAUCUUCGUUGAUAAUAAAUGUGAAAGGUCAGUCGUGUUACUAUGACUACCAUCAUUGUACAGGAUAUGAUUGGUGCUGCCCUGAUAGUUACGUCUGUACUGGGUCAUCAACCUGUUUAUCUAUUCGAGCAAUAGUCGGAAUAUGUAUUGGAGGUUUAUUUGGUCUGGCUAUUUUCAUGGCCUGCAUAUAU